rnacentral:rRNA from 1 species
GGGGGAAAGGAGGGGAUCGCAAGACCUUUCGCUAACGGAGUGGCCGAUAUCGGAUUAGCUAGUAGGUGAGGUAAAGGCUCACCUAGGCGACGAUCCGUAGCGGGUCUGAGAGGAUGAUCCGCCACACUGGAACUGAGACACGGUCCAGACUCCUACGGGAGGCAGCAGUGGGGAAUUUUGGACAAUGGGCGAAAGCCUGAUCCAGCCAUACCGCGUGAGUGAAGAAGGCCUUCGGGUUGUAAAGCUCUUUCAGCCGGAAAGAAAUCCUGCUUACUAAUACUAAGUGGGGAUGACGGUACCGGAAGAAGAAGCACCGGCUAACUACGUGCCAGCAGCCGCGGUAAUACGUAGGGUGCGAGCGUUAAUCGGAAUUACUGGGCGUAAAGCGCGCGCAGGCGGCAUGAUAAGCCAGAUGUGAAAUCCCCGGGCUUAACCUGGGAACUGCAUUUGGAACUGUCAAGCUAGAGUGUAGCAGAGGGGGGUAGAGUUCCACGUGUAGCAGUGAAAUGCGUAGAGAUGUGGAGGAAUACCGAUGGCGAAGGCAGCCCCCUGGGUUAACACUGACGCUCAUGCACGAAAGCGUGGGGAGCAAACAGGAUUAGAUACCCUGGUAGUCCACGCCCUAAACGAUGUCAACUAGGUGUUGGGGAAGGAGACUUCUUUAGUACCGCAGCUAACGCGUGAAGU